rnacentral:rRNA from 1 species
UGGGGAAUAUUGGACAAUGGGGGAAACCCUGAUCCAGCGACGCCGCGUGGGUGAAGAAGGCCUGCGGGUUGUAAAGCCCUUUCAGUGGGGAAGAAAAGCCUCGACCUAACACGUCGGGGUCUUGACGUAACUCACAAAAGAAGCACCGGCUAACUCUGUGCCAGCAGCCGCGGUAAUACAGAGGGUGCGAGCGUUAAUCGGAAUUACUGGGCGUAAAGCGCGCGUAGGCGGCUUCGCAAGUCGAGUGUGAAAUCCCCGGGCUCAACCUGGGAACUGCAUUCGAGACUGCGUUGCUAGAGUAUGGGAGAGGGAGGUGGAAUUUCAGGUGUAGCGGUGAAAUGCGUAGAUAUCUGAAGGAACAUCAGUGGCGAAAGCGACCUCCUGGACCAAUACUGACGCUCAUGUGCGAAAGCGUGGGGAGCAAACAGGAUUAGAUACCCCCGUAGUCC